rnacentral:lncRNA from 1 species
GACAGUUUUUUACAUAUUUAUUUACAUUUUUCUCUCUCCAGGAAAUGGAGCCAGAAUCCACAGAUGUCAUUAUCCAUCUGCACACGUUUGUUUACCACCCAGAAGGCAAGAUUGCAUUUUAAAGUCUUGGAUGGUUAUUCUUUUUCAUCACGAGUGACUCCAGAAGCCCUGACCAUUCACAGUGACCCUGGCUGAAAGUGUCUGUCAAAGCCUUGUUUCCUGGAGUGCUUUGAGAUUCUCCUACAAAAGGCAUUUUCCAAGCACAGAGUGGAAAAACAUCAUUUAUAUUCAUUCGGUCGCUGUGGCAUUUCUCCCUGGAAUCUUCCUCUUGUCUGUCAACAUUGGGAGAGGGCCGCUGACCUCAUCUACAUUACAAAUGGCCUCCUUUUAACGGGAGGAGAAAUGCAGUCAGACUGUGAUGCAAGCAAAGCUGAGCAGCUAAGGCUGUAACCCCACAAGAGCCAGACAGAGCAAGAAGAACUUGACUCAUGAUCUCAGAAAGUAGGCUAAGGGUCCAAAACAGCAGAGCUGCUGAUCAUCCAAAUGUGCAGCUGACACAUUCCCAAUUCCAGUCUUGAGAGAACAGCACAGAAGAGGAGGCUCUUGAAGGUGUUUCUCCUUUGCAAACUAGAAACUGUUUCCUAGGGAAGCUGUCAUUCUGCAGAGCUGUGUCCUCCAGGAUGACCACAUGAGGGCACUGAGUUGGUGUCCAAUACUGGUGGGUGCACUUCACUGUCCCUGUAUGGCUAUGCAGGCAGGCUGGCCACUAAACAAAGGUAGGUUACUGCUUUGGCAAGAGGCAGCUAGUGAGGGCCUGUGCUGUGAGCAGGGCCUGUAGAUACCUGUCCAUCACCCCCAUAUCUCCCUAUUGCAGACCUACUCUUUGUGGAACUACAGAUGAAAAAUAGUGAGCUUGACCAGAUGGCUCCAUGAAAAUGGUCUUCUGGAGGAGCAAUGAUUCAGAGAGAUAUGAGCAGGUUUCAAGUUUACUUAGGAGCCAAAAGGCAGAGGAGCCUGGGCCACAGUGUCUGCAGGGUUUAGCUUUAUUGUCAAGAUCAAGGAGGACGCCCCCGGAGCUCAUGUCUCUAGCUGCAUAUGAAUCAGAAGAUGACCUAGUCGGCCAUCAGUGGAAAGAGAGGCCCAUUGGUAGUGCAAACUUUAUAUUCCUCAGUACAGGGGAA